UGCUUAUUAUGUAUGUAUUUAUAUAUAUAUAUAUAUCGCUUGUAUAUUUUGAAUAAUUAAGUUCCACAUUAAAGAAAUUAAAGAAAUGAAGAUUUAAUAUAAAAAUAGAGUAAAAGUACUUUAGAUUUGAGUCGUAAUGUUAAUUGUUGCAUUACAACUUGAUGUCGAGGAAAAAGCCAAACAAUAGUUCCACGAUUAUCAAAUGAAAAUAUGGUAAACAAAGGUUUGUACAUUUUACGCGUAUGACGUAAGAAGUAAAAAAAAAAAGAGUAACAAUAGUUUUGCUAGUGAAUUAGAAAUUUUUUGAUAAAUGCAAAGAAUAUAUGAAUUUAAAUCGUAUGAGUGUCGUGUUUGUUAAGAUCCACUAUCGUGGAGGUUAUUUAGUUACUUGUCAUAUCGUAAUUUAAUCAAGUCUUAUUUUAAUCGUAAAUUGCAAAAAUGUGGUUUCAUUUGAUGCUUGCUAUUUUUGCGAUGUUUGACUCGGCAAUGGCAUCGUCCGGCUUCGAUUUUGGAGAUACUCUGGCAUUGAUCCUCGGAUUGAUCAUUGGAAUUAUUGGAUUUUUUGCCUGUAUGGGUGCUUAUGCACGUCAUCGAAUUUCUGUGGAAACAAUGCCAUAAUAAACGAUUUCAAAAUUCCAUUAGUAGCUAUUCAAUACAUAGAGAAUUAAGAAAGAGAAAUGCCUCAAGUGACAUGUUUUUAAUACAUUCAAUAUUGUUAUUAUAAAUUUCAUAUGAGAAUUGCUUUAAAACUAACAGAAAUUAAGUGUAUUUCUCAUAAU